AGUGAACGCUGGCGGUAGGCCUAACACAUGCAAGUCGAACGGCAGCACAGUAGGAGCUUGCUCUUACGGGUGGCGAGUGGCGGACGGGUGAGGAAUACAUCGGAAUCUACUUUUUCGUGGGGGAUAACGUAGGGAAACUUACGCUAAUACCGCAUACGACCUACGGGUGAAAGCAGGGGAUCUUCGGACCUUGCGCGAUUGAAUGAGCCGAUGUCGGAUUAGCUAGUUGGCGGGGUAAAGGCCCACCAAGGCGACGAUCCGUAGCUGGUCUGAGAGGAUGAUCAGCCACACUGGAACUGAGACACGGUCCAGACUCCUACGGGAGGCAGCAGUGGGGAAUAUUGGACAAUGGGCGCAAGCCUGAUCCAGCCAUACCGCGUGGGUGAAGAAGGCCUUCGGGUUGUAAAGCCCCUUUGUUGGGAAAGAAAAGCAGCAGGUUAAUACCCCGCUGUUCCGACGGUACCCAAAGAAUAAGCACCGGCUAACUUCGUG
rnacentral:rRNA from 1 species